UCGCUUGUCCAGAUGACGAAUUCCUGCCGGUGAGCGAGCGCUCUGAACCUUCUUGUUUUUCUCUGUCAACUGCCUCGGCGGCGCCAUGAAGUCCAUUGUGUGAGCAUAAGCCGCACACCAGCACCCCCCGAGCGGUCCAGUGUGUCGGUGCAAGCAGCCAUGUGCACAAACGCGAGCAGUUCAUGCAGGGUGGAGGUGUUGUUCGCCGCUGCCGACGCCAUGGAAGAACAGUACCUGCACGUGCACAGUUAAGAAAGAGCUUAUUUUGCUCUACCUUUUUUGUAGAUUUUGGGUUGUGCACUUCUCCUCAGCCCCCGCUAUACUGCAGUCCCGCAUCUGCCAUGGAGUAAACGCACUGCAACACCCGGACAACUGCGCUGCAUGAACAUCCUGGGCAAAUUGCUCUCCUGGGUGUCCUUCGAAAGCAGCUGACACCUGAUUCAAUAGGAGCCCCGUGCAGUUCAGAAAAAGUUACCCCUUGCGUGCGUUCACAACAGUUUAAAGUGCAGUGGAUGUGGUUCCUUUAGUGCUACAAUGCAAUUUUGUGUUUGUGUUUCUGUACUUCGCUAUGAUUUAGUAUGUAAAAAUAGGGAAAAGAAAAACCAUGUAGUUCCUUACUCUCGACAACACAGUAUAGAUUCGACUUGUGUGCGGAUUUGGAACAUGAAAAGAAUGCAGUUCCGGAAGGUUUGGUGCAGUGCAAAAUCCACUACAAAUUUGGAACAUCAAACAAAAACCCAUUUAAAAAACA
rnacentral:lncRNA from 1 species